rnacentral:rRNA from 1 species
GACGAACGCYGGCGGCGKGCCUAACACAUGCAAGUCGAACGGAACUGUUUGGAGCUUGCUUCGAAACAGUUAGUGGCGGACGGGUGAGUAACGCGUGAGCAACCUACCUUUCAGAGGGGGAUAACGUCUGGAAACGGACGCUAAUACCGCAUGACAUUUCAGAGCCGCAUGGUUUUGAGAUCAAAGGAGCAAUCCGCUGAGAGAUGGGCUCGCGUCCGAUUAGCCAGUUGGUGAGGUAACGGCCCACCAAAGCAACGAUCGGUAGCCGGACUGAGAGGUUGAACGGCCACAUUGGGACUGAGACACGGCCCAGACUCCUACGGGAGGCAGCAGUGGGGGAUAUUGCACAAUGGAGGAAACUCUGAUGCAGCAACGCCGCGUGAGGGAAGAAGGUCUUCGGAUUGUAAACCUUUGUCCUUGGUGAMRAUAAUGACGGUAGCCAAGGAGGAAGCUCCGGCUAACUACGUGCCAGCAGCCGCGGUAAUACGUAGGGAGCGAGCGUUGUCCGGAUUUACUGGGUGUAAAGGGUGCGUAGGCGGCUCUGCAAGUCAGGUGUGAAAACCAUCGGCUUAACUGAUGGACUGCAUUUGAAACUGUGGGGCUUGAGUGAAGUAGAGGCAGACGGAAUUCCCGGUGUAGCGGUGAAAUGCGUAGAGAUCGGGAGGAACACCAGUGGCGAAGGCGGUCUGCUGGGCUUUAACUGACGCUGAGGCACGAAAGCAUGGYUMGCUUUCAGGAUUAGAUACCCUGGUAGUCCAUGCCGUAAACGGCCCUCCUAGUGUGGGGGGUCUGACCCCCUCCGUGCCGGAGUUAACACAAUAAGUAAUCCACC